AACGAACGCUGGCGGCAUGCCUAACACAUGCAAGUCGAACGAGACCUUCGGGUUUAGUGGCGCACGGGUGCGUAACGCGUGGGAACCUGCCCUUAGGUUCGGAAUAACUCCCCGAAAGGGGUGCUAAUACCGGAUAAUGUCUUCGGACCAAAGAUUUAUCGCCUUUGGAUGGGCCCGCGUUUGAUUAGCUAGUUGGUAGGGUAAAAGCCUACCAAGGCGACGAUCCAUAGCUGGUCUGAGAGGAUGAUCAGCCACACUGGGACUGAGACACGGCCCAGACUCGUACGGGAGGCAGGAGUGGGGAACAUUGGACAAGGGGCGAAAGCCUGAUCCAGCAAUGCCGCGUGAGUGAUGAAGGCCUUAGGGUUGUAAAGCUCUUUUACCCGGGAUGAUAAUGACAGUACCGGGAGAAUAAGCACCGGCUAACUCCGUG
rnacentral:rRNA from 1 species